rnacentral:rRNA from 1 species
UACGAAGGGGGCUAGCGUUGUUCGGAUUUACUGGGCGUAAAGAGCGCGCAGGCGGUCGUUCAAGUCGAGUGUGAAAGCCCCCGGCUCCAACUGGGGAGGGUCAUUCGAUACUGAUCGACUCGAAGGCAGGAGAGGGAAGUGGAAUUCCCGGUGUAGUGGUGAAAUGCGUAGAUAUCGGGAGGAACACCAGUGGCGAAGGCGACUUCCUGGCCUGUUCUUGACGCUGAGGCGCGAAAAGCUAGGGGGAGCAAACGGG